AUAAGAAUUUAGUCUGUGAUUGUACUCUAUUAUGGAAAUUGGAGGGCUGCCUACUUUUAGCCUCCGUUAUGGUAUACCUACACAAUUUGACGGAAAUUGCGCAUAAAGAUGUCUUGUAAUAUUAUUAUGAGGUCUUCUCAUGCAUAUAGCUGCGGGUCGAUGCUGUGCGGCUUGGGCAGCGUGCUGUCGUUAAUGGAGUCGACGAGCGCUCUGUUGUCGGCGAUGGGCGUGCGAGCUUGUGACGGGGACUCUGUUUUCAUUCCAGCUUUCGCCUGAAAAUAUUCACAACAAAACAAUGUAUAUCUGCUAAUGUUCGAAACACAAACAUUUUGGAAAAGUAUUUUUUCGAAUACGAAAAGGCAAUAAACGACUAUCCUAGGCCUAAACGAAAACAAUACUUGUCGUUACAACAUUAAGUUAUUUUUUCACGGCGCCUUAAGUUUUCUAGAAACCUGCAUUAGCAGACAAAGAUUGGGCCUGCGUUAGCAAACCAAAAUUAAAAAAACUUUUUUCAUAUUACUGUGUUAUGAGUGUUUACGUUAGAUUUUUGAUAAAUAUUAAAAUCUAUUAUAAUCAAUUUACACAAAACACAGUAAUAAUAAAAACUAUAGCCAGAGAACCAACAUUAAACUAUUUUUAAUAAUAUAA